AUUGAACGCUGGCGGCAGGCCUAACACAUGCAAGUCGAACGGUAGCACAGAGAGCUUGCUCUUGGGUGACGAGUGGCGGACGGGUGAGUAAUGUCUGGGAAACUGCCCGAUGGAGGGGGAUAACUACUGGAAACGGUAGCUAAUACCGCAUAACGUCUUCGGACCAAAGUGGGGGACCUUCGGGCCUCACACCAUCCGAUGUGCCCAGAUGGGAUUAGCUAGUAGGUGGGGUAAAGGCUCACCUAGGCGACGAUCCCUAGCUGGUCUGAGAGGAUGACCAGCCACACUGGAACUGAGACACGGUCCAGACUCCUACGGGAGGCAGCAGUGGGGAAUAUUGCACAAUGGGCGCAAGCCUGAUGCAGCCAUGCCGCGUGUAUGAAGAAGGCCUUCGGGUUGUAAAGUACUUUCAGCGGGGAGGAAGGCGUUAAGGUUAAUAACCUUGGCGAUUGACGUUACCCGCAGAAGAAGCACCGGCUAACUCCGUGCCAGCAGCCGCGGUAA
rnacentral:rRNA from 1 species